GCUUCGGUGGUGCAGUGGUUAGCAUGCGCACACAGAAAGGCUAAAACGCGGGUUCAAUCCUCGCCCGUGACA